ACGAACGCUGGCGGCGUGCUUAACACAUGCAAGUCGAACGGAAAGGCCCUGCUUGCCGGGUACUCGAGUGGCGAACGGGUGAGUAACACGUGGGUGAUCUGCCCUGCACUUCGGGAUAAGCCUGGGAAACUGGGUCUAAUACCGGAUAGGAGCCAUUUUUAGUGUGAUGGUUGGAAAGUUUUUUCGGUGUAGGAUGAGCUCGCGGCCUAUCAGCUUGUUGGUGGGGUAAUGGCCUACCAAGGCGGCGACGGGUAGCCGGCCUGAGAGGGUGGACGGCCACAUUGGGACUGAGAUACGGCCCAGACUCCUACGGGAGGCAGCAGUGGGGAAGAUUGCACAAUGGGCGCAAGCCUGAUGCAGCGACGCCGCGUGGGGGAUGACGGCCUUCGGGUUGUAAACUCCUUUCGCUAGGGACGAAGCUUUUUGUGACGGUACCUAGAGAAGAAGCACCGGCUAACUACGUG
rnacentral:rRNA from 1 species